rnacentral:sRNA from 1 species
UCCCACUGGAAACUGCACCUACGCGUGUAUUUGGGCAAUUCGAGGUGGGCGGACUGGAUUACGGUCCCCCUCUCCCCCUCUCUCUCUCUCUCUCUCUCUCUCUCUCUCUCUCUCUCUCUCUCUAUAUAUAUAUAUAUACAUGUCCAUCCAUUCCCUUGGAGACAAUGUGUAUGUGUACACGUCUGUGGAGGGAACAUUGCCUAAGGAUAUCUGGAGCUCUGGAGCUUACACGAUCGAAAUUACAUGCGUCAUAACCCUUUUUCAUUUUUUCCCAGGGUAUUCAGCGAAAGGGAGGGAGAAGGGGAAAGGAGGGAAUACACAUACAUUAUGUACAGUCC